GAAGCAGGCCAGACAGUCGCUGGCCGGCGCAGCAAUGCGCUGGCGGGAGGAAGGUCCGGACUCCAUAGAGCGGGGUGACGGUUAACGGCCGUCCGUCGAAAGCCGACCCGGCGUACUUGUAUGCCGGGGGAGUAUAAGGCGAGGAAUAGGGCCACAGAGACGAGCGUAUUAAGUUACGGUGAAACGCGGUAACCUCCACCUGGUGCAAUUUCAAAUAGGCACGCGAUGAUGCUGCUCGCGGAGCGUGCGGGUAGAAAGCUUGAGCGCCCGAGUAAUCUGGCGCCUAGAGGAAUGACUGUCAUAGCGCCAACCUGCAAGGGAAGGCGCCGUAACAAAAUCCGGCCUACCGGCCUGCUUCACUU
rnacentral:RNase_P_RNA from 3 species